GGGAGGACAGGGUCGGGAGGUUGGCGGUAGCCUCGGAUGGGGCGGCACCCCGCAUUUUUUACCUACUUUGGUGCGAUUCCCGCAGCCCUCCGAUGAUUGGCCAGCUAGACACGGCGGACCCUCGCGUGAGAGGAAAAAUCUGCACAUUUUUCCUUCUUCGCGAGGCGACUGAGGCCCGCUCUGGGCACCCUGGGACAGGAAGAAUUUACAACUGGGAAGAUUACUGAACUUUAUAUUAAGUUGUACCUAAUUUAGGCAGCCAAGAGCAUAAUGAUUUAUACCGAAACUGUUUUGAUUCUCCAGAUAUGACGAUUUGGACAAGAUGGCAAUAAGGAAGUUGGGGCGGUUUUAAGCCUUUACCACUGGCUGCAGGUGUUUGGCAAGGACGUGGGAAUUACCUGAAGAACUUGUUCCAAAUUAGGCUUACACUUAAUCUUUGGGGGAAAAUAACUCUCAACCUGCUGGAGGCCAGAUGUGCUGAGUUUUUGUCUCCUGAGAAAGGAAGGAGGUGAAGAGUAAGGAAAGGUUUACCGACAGCUCCUGAGAGACAGGAGGGGUCCCAGAAGUGCGUGGCCCCACAGGCGCUUUCUCCAAGAAUGUUCUAUGGAGCAAAAUCACAAGGGAGAUUCUCAGGCCUGGCCAUAUUGUCUCCAUCUUGAGUCCUGGCCCCCUUCAGAUGUGCCUUCAGCAGCAGUUUUGAUGUGUUUUCAUCUUCCACACUGACUCCCUUGAGGGCUUAUCCCUGUCUGACUACCUAUUAAUUUCUACCUAACUUAGCUGUCUAGUAUCUUGAUCUUGUACCUUCCAGCCUCCAAAGCAAUAGGAAUAUAUCUCUGUUUUCUCUGCUGACCCCCAGUCUGUGUGUGGCUUUGUGCUGUACAGCCUGAACAGACUAUAACACAUAAAGUCUCUCCUUGAAUACAGCAUGGGUAUGUUCCAUUUCUGAUUUAGAAGACGUUUUGCAAAUGCAGUACUUGAUCUAUGAACAUGCAAGCACUUUCAUUUGAAGCCAUUAAUAUGACUGGCAGAGAAUAAAUUCACUUUGAAGAGAUUGCAGAGACACCGGUGUUUUGUUUUUUUGUAUUGUUUUGUUUUUUUGGUACUGGGGAUUGAACUCAGGACCUUGCGCUUGCAAGGCAGGUGCCGGCUAAAUCCCUGGCCUGAGACAUGGGUGUUAAUAGUCUGAAAAAGCUCCUUUGCCAGGGGUAAACCCUAUCAGAAGGAAGUGUACAAAACUAUUUUUGAAUCUUUUCCCUGCCUUCCCACAAAUUCACCUCCUCCAUAUCUCCUACCCUUUAUGGUGUUUUGCUGGUUGUAUAGUGUUCUAUAGUUCACUUUCAUACAAUUAAUGAUUAUCUUGGUGACCUGGCCUUAUCAAGAAAUCAUUCCUUAUAAUUGCAGAAAAGCAUGACUGUCCAUUUGUUUAAUCUCUGUCCUACUGAUAGCCGUUUAGUUUCUUUCCAAAGCAUGACUAUCACAGUGUCUCGAUGAACAGCCUUAUGACUAGCCUCUUUGCACACAAGCAAGUACACUUCUCAGAAAAGGACAAAUAAGGGAAUCAGGUACUUGGUUCAAGGCUGAGAGUUCAAGCUCUUCAAAGUAUCUGUGGACAGAAUGUACCAUAAAAAUAUGAAAAGUAAGAAAACAUGCACACACCCCCAAGGUACACUGUUGAAUGAAUGAAUGAAAACAAGUUGCAGCUAGCACU
ensembl:lncRNA